AAUCCAUAGGUUAAUGAGGCGAACCGGGGGAACUGAAACAUCUAAGUACCCCGAGGAAAAGAAAUCAACCGAGAUUCCCCCAGUAGCGGCGAGCGAACGGGGAGGAGCCCAGAGCCUGAAUCAGCAUGUGUGUUAGUGGAAGCGUCUGGAAAGGCGCGCGAUACAGGGUGACAGCCCCGUACACAAAAGCGCAUGUGCUGUGAGCUCGAUGAGUAGGGCGGGACACGUGGUAUCCUGUCUGAAUAUGGGGGGACCAUCCUCCAAGGCUAAAUACUCCUGACUGACCGAUAGUGAACCAGUACCGUGAGGGAAAGGCGAAAAGAACCCCGGCGAGGGGAGUGAAAAAGAACCUGAAACCGUGUACGUACAAGCAGUGGGAGCACCCUUUGGGUGUGACUGCGUACCUUUUGUAUAAUGGGUCAGCGACUUAUAUUCUGUAGCAAGGUUAACCGAAUAGGGGAGCCGGAGGGAAACCGAGUCUUAACCGGGCGUUAAGUUGCAGGGUAUAGACCCGAAACCCGGUGAUCUAGCCAUGGGCAGGUUGAAGGUUGGGUAACACUAACUGGAGGACCGAACCGACUAAUGUUGAAAAAUUAGCGGAUGACCUGUGGCUGGGGGUGAAAGGCCAAUCAAACCGGGAGAUAGCUGGUUCUCCCCGAAAGCUAUUUAGGUAGCGCCUCGUGAAUUCAUCUCCGGGGGUAGAGCACUGUUUCGGCUAGGGGGCCAUCCCGGCUUACCAACCCGAUGCAAACUGCGAAUACCGGAGAAUGUUAUCACGGGAGACACACGGCGGGUGCUAACGUCCGUCGUGAAGAGGGAAACAACCCAGACCGCCAGCUAAGGUCCCAAAGUCAUGGUUAAGUGGGAAACGAUGUGGGAAGGCCCAGACAGCCAGGAUGUUGGCUUAGAAGCAGCCAUCAUUUAAAGAAAGCGUAAUAGCUCACUGGUCGAGUCGGCCUGCGCGGAAGAUGUAACGGGGCUAAACCAUGCACCGAAGCUGCGGCAGCGACACUGUGUGUUGUUGGGUAGGGGAGCGUUCUGUAAGCCUGUGAAGGUGUGUCGUGAGGCAUGCUGGAGGUAUCAGAAGUGCGAAUGCUGACAUAAGUAACGAUAAAGCGGGUGAAAAGCCCGCUCGCCGGAAGACCAAGGGUUCCUGUCCAACGUUAAUCGGGGCAGGGUGAGUCGACCCCUAAGGCGAGGCCGAAAGGCGUAGUCGAUGGGAAACGGGUUAAUAUUCCCGUACUUGGUGUUACUGCGAAGGGGGGACGGAGAAGGCUAUGUUGGCCGGGCGACGGUUGUCCCGGUUUAAGCGUGUAGGUGUGUGUUCCAGGUAAAUCCGGUUCACUUUAACACUGAGGCGUGACGACGAGGCACUACGGUGCUGAAGCAACAAAUGCCCUGCUUCCAGGAAAAGCCUCUAAGCAUCAGGUAACAUCAAAUCGUACCCCAAACCGACACAGGUGGUCAGGUAGAGAAUACCAAGGCGCUUGAGAGAACUCGGGUGAAGGAACUAGGCAAAAUGGUGCCGUAACUUCGGGAGAAGGCACGCUGACACGUAGGUGAAGUGAUUUACUCAUGGAGCUGAAGUCAGUCGAAGAUACCAGCUGGCUGCAACUGUUUAUUAAAAACACAGCACUGUGCAAACACGAAAGUGGACGUAUACGGUGUGACGCCUGCCCGGUGCCGGAAGGUUAAUUGAUGGGGUCAGCGCAAGCGAAGCUCCUGAUCGAAGCCCCGGUAAACGGCGGCCGUAACUAUAACGGUCCUAAGGUAGCGAAAUUCCUUGUCGGGUAAGUUCCGACCUGCACGAAUGGCGUAAUGAUGGCCAGGCUGUCUCCACCCGAGACUCAGUGAAAUUGAACUCGCUGUGAAGAUGCAGUGUACCCGCGGCAAGACGGAAAGACCCCGUGAACCUUUACUAUAGCUUGACACUGAACAUUGAGCCUUGAUGUGUAGGAUAGGUGGGAGGCUUUGAAGUGUGGACGCCAGUCUGCAUGGAGCCGACCUUGAAAUACCACCCUUUAAUGUUUGAUGUUCUAACGUGGACCCGUUACCCGGGUUGCGGACAGUGUCUGGUGGGUAGUUUGACUGGGGCGGUCUCCUCC
rnacentral:rRNA from 2 species